rnacentral:rRNA from 1 species
GACGAACGCUGGCGGCGUGCCUAAUACAUGCGAGUAGAACGCUGAAGAGAGGAGCUUACUCUUCUUGGAUGAGUUGCGAACGGGUGAGUAACGCGUAGGUAACCUGCCUUGUAGCGGGGGAUAACUAUUGGAAACGAUAGCUAAUACCGCAUAACAAUGGAUGACACAUGUCAUUUAUUUGAAAGGGGCAAUUGCUCCACUACAAGAUGGACCUGCGUUGUAUUAGCUAGUAGGUGAGGUAAUGGCUCACCUAGGCGACGAUACAUAGCCGACCUGAGAGGGUGAUCGGCCACACUGGGACUGAGACACGGCCCAGACUCCUACGGGAGGCAGCAGUAGGGAAUCUUCGGCAAUGGGGGCAACCCUGACCGAGCAACGCCGCGUGAGUGAAGAAGGUUUUCGGAUCGUAAAGCUCUGUCGUAAGUCAAGAACGGGUGUGAGAGUGGAAAGUUCACACUGUGACGGUAGCUUACCAGAAAGGGACGGCUAACUACGUG